GAUGAACGCUGGCGGCGUGCCUAAUACAUGCAAGUCGAGCGAACUGACGAGAAGCUUGCUUUUCUGAUGUUAGCGGCGGACGGGUGAGUAACACGUGGAUAACCUACCUAUAAGACUGGGAUAACUUCGGGAAACCGGAGCUAAUACCGGAUAAUAUUUUGAACCGCAUGGUUCAAAAGUGAAAGACGGUCUUGCUGUCACUUAUAGAUGGAUCCGCGCUGCAUUAGCUAGUUGGUAAGGUAACGGCUUACCAAGGCAACGAUGCAUAGCCGACCUGAGAGGGUGAUCGGCCACACUGGAACUGAGACACGGUCCAGACUCUACGGGAGGCAGCAGUAGGGAAUCUUCCGCAAUGGGCGAAAGCCUGACGGAGCAACGCCGCGUGAGUGAUGAAGGUCUUCGGAUCGUAAAACUCUGUUAUUAGGGAAGAACAUAUGUGUAAGUAACUGUGCACAUCUUGACGGUACCUAAUCAGAAAGCCACGGCUAACUACGUG
rnacentral:rRNA from 1 species